rnacentral:rRNA from 1 species
AUUGAACGCUGGCGGCAUGCCUUACACAUGCAAGUCGAACGGCAGCGCGGACUUCGGUCUGUCUGCGAGUGGCGAACGGGGGAGUAAUACAUCGGAACGUACCCUGCUAUAGGGGAGAACUAGUCGAAAGAUUAGCUAAUACCGCAUACGACCUGAGGGUGAAAGUGUGGGACCGGAAACGGCCUCAUGCAUCAGGAGCGGCCGAUGUCUGAUUAGCUAGUUGUUGGGGUAAAGGCCCACCAAGGCGACGAUCAGUAGCUGGUCUGAGAGGACGAUCAGCCACACUGGAACUGAGACACGGCCCAGACUCCUACGGGAGGCAGCAGUGGGGAAUUUUGGACAAUGGGGGCAAGCCUGAUCCAGCAAUGCCGCGUGUGUGAAGAAGGCCUUCGGGUUGUAAAGCACUUUUGUCCGGAAAGAAAAAGCGCUGGUUAAUACCUGGCGUUGUUGACGGUACCGGAAGAAUAAGCACCGGCUAACUACGUG